AUAAUCAUGCUGCGACUUAUAUACUUCUGAACUGAACAACUGGAGACCGCUAUUAUUAUCAAGAUGUAGCGCCAGCAGGUCUGCGGCUCCUUAUGCCGCCCGUGAACCCUACAGACUCACCCGUGAGAAGAAGCGCAGAUCAAAUGCGGCAUGUGUCAAGGGGGGACGCGGUGGUGCAGCAGGCUUGGCUGGGCCCUGCUCCCUGGUGGGUCUGGGGCUCGACUCCCGCUUGGGGUGCCCUGAGACGAACUGGCGUCCCACCCUGGCCCACACACCCUGAGCCGGCCCUGCAUCCUCAGACAUCGCCACUGUCGCCAGUUCUCUUUACACUCUUCAGUGUUUGCUCCUCUUGUCUUCACACCGGGUAUGGCCAACCGGCAUCUGCAGCACGGCAAGGGAUCGCCUAAUCCCCGACAAUGCCUUUGUUUUUUGUUUACAUUCUAAUAAAUAUUAUUAAGUAUUUCA
rnacentral:lncRNA from 1 species